AAUUUUUCUGUUGCCCGAAAUGCUUUGAAUAUGAAACGUGGACCUUUUUAGUAAUUUUUAAUUAUAAAAAACUCUAUUUUCUAGCUCAUACUUUCUCUCUCCCUUCUUGCUGCAUGAAGUCACUUUUUUUCUUCUAACGGCGCUCACUUCUCUCCUUUGUUUUAGUCGAUUUCCGAUGAAGAAAGAGACGGCGAGACAACCAAUGACCUCGUAUCCUUCUCUCUCUCUCUGGUGUCUAUGAAGCCCGCAUCACUAAUUGUAGUGAUUUUGCUCUGCAGAGGUUUAGAUAGCCAUAAAAACUGGUAAGCUCAAGCUAUUUCCGACUAAAGAUCACCACCUCUGACGAUUGAACACCCAAUAACGUCAACUCAACCCAAGAAACAUUAAGAUCGCCUCCAUUAUCGCGGACCAAGGUCGCAUCUCAAACGGUCAUGGAGACAGUUGCGUUCUUCCAUCCCCGGCGAAAGCAAGGAUCAAAACAGGUGACGUUUCGAUUGAUUUAUUGCCACGACUGCAAAAAAAACGACCUGCUAUGAGCUUACUAUUGUAAGAAGAUGUAUUUAAAUCUUUACUAGUUACACAAAUCCCUUUCCACGUCGCUGGUACUGUUAAGUUUAGCAGUAGACUGUUAAAACAUAGAACUCA
rnacentral:lncRNA from 1 species